CCUACGGGUGGCAGCAGUGGGGAAUAUUGGGCAAUGGGCGCAAGCCUGACCCAGCAACGCCGCGUGAAGGAAGAAGGCUUUCGGGUUGUAAACUUCUUUUCUCAGGGACGAAGCAAGUGACGGUACCUGAGGAAUAAGCCACGGCUAACUACGUGCCAGCAGCCGCGGUAAUACGUAGGAGGCAAGCGUUAUCCGGAAUGACUGGGCGUAAAGGGUGCGUAGGUGGUUUGAUAAGUUGGUAGCGUAACUCCGAGGCUCAACCUCGGCACUACUACCAAAACUGUCGGACUUGAGUGCAGGAGGGGCAACUGGAAUUCCUAGUGUAGCGGUGGAAUGCGUAGAUAUUAGGAGGAACACCAGUGGCGAAGGCGAGUUGCUGGACUGUAACUGACACUGAGGCACGAAAGCGUGGGGAGCAAACAGGAUUAGAUACCCGUGUAGUC
rnacentral:rRNA from 1 species